rnacentral:lncRNA from 10 species
CAGGGGAUUGCAGUGGCAAAGCUAGGCUAGGUCUUGGAGGCUGGUGUAAGGCGAUGUGGGUGAAGGCAGGAGGCUGAUGGAAAGACUGGGGGGAAGAAAAGCCGAAAUGGAUUCACGGUGCCUUGGAUGAAGGACGAGAGGGGAACUGCAAGCUCCUUCAACUGGUUCUGUCCGGUGAGAAGUGAUCAAGCUUGGGCUGACAAGAGGCUCAGGGAGCCCUCACGUUCUUUCGCUUUUUUACCUGCCAAUCAAACUGCUACAAGACAACACCCUGAUCUGGCAUGGACAUUCAUUGCAGUCACCUGGAGUCACGGAAAUGACCAUGAUUGCCUGAACUUUCAUGACUUCUGUGGAUAACUGUGGUUGCAGAAAAGAGAAAACCUGGACCGUGAGGGACAUUUCACUCCCUGGGCUUUGGUACAUGAGUCUUGCUGUGAUGCCCAGGCUGCUGGAGUGCAAUGGUGUGAUCUCUGCUCACUGCAACCUUUGAUUCCUGGGUUCAAGAGAUUCUCCUG